rnacentral:rRNA from 1 species
UACGGGGGGAGCAAGCGUUGUUCGGAUUUACUGGGCGUAAAGGGCGCGUAGGCGGUCGUGACAAGUCACUUGUGAAAUCUCCGGGCUUAACUCGGAACGGUCAAGUGAUACUGUCGGACUAGAGUACAGAAGGGGCAACUGGAAUUCUCGGUGUAGCGGUGAAAUGCGUAGAUAUCGAGAGGAACACCUGCGGCGAAGGCGGGUUGCUGGGCUGACACGUGACGCUGAGGCGCGGAAGCUAGGGGAGCGAACGGG